AAAAACACAAAAUAAUUUUAUUUUAGGCUGACAGAACUUGGAUUCAUGGAACAAAGGCACAAGUACUCCAAAUGCCGGCAUUCUGGCAUACAAGGUUUGGGCUCUGACAAAGGGCACAUCACCUUUCUGGUACAAUAGGACUCCGUUAAUAUUCCAUCAUAACUCUCAUUAAAAUUUAGAUGUUCAAUAAAUGUCGGCUAUUAAAUCGUUAGUGGAAAAGUCUAUUUCUGGAAAUCUUUUCAUCCUUUCCUUAAUGAGACGAUUUAUUUAUUUAUGUAAGGAAAGGGGAGAAAAGUUAAUCACUUACCAGGUUAAGAGAUGGAAGUUCCCUGGUGGCCUAGGUUAAGGAUCCAGCUUUGUCACAGCUGUGUUGCAGGUAGUUGCUGUGGUCAGGGUUUGAUCCCUGGCCCUGGAGUUUAUGUAUGCGUGGACACAGCAAAAAGAAAAAAGAAAGUAGCUGGAUCCAGUCGUUUUCAAAGGGCAACGUCAAAGUACAUUUAUCUAACACUUUGAAAAGACCUACUAUUUAAACACAACUUUUAAAUGUGUUUAAAUUUUCUCUGUAAAAACUUUAAAUGACUAAAGAAAAUAACUGGGUGCCUUUAUAACAUUACUCGAAGACAUGCUUUUAAGUUCAGAUGUUAUUUACCUAAUAAAAAUGUUAAUCACGUGAAAAGUCAACACUCGAGUACUGUUGAUUACGCUGAAACCUUCGUGCCCUUUCUGGGGCUUCUAUCAGAGCAAUUCUAGUUUCCCCACUACUCCAUACAUAUAUAUGUACUUUUUAUUGAAAUAUAGUCGAUUACUCCACUUGCAUUUAAGCUUAUUUUGCUUUGAAUUUACUCUACCCGGUAGCACUUUCUUUUGGAGGGCAGGGGCAUGGGGAAAGGGGGAGAAAGGUGUAAAAAUACAACCUAGAUUCGUGUCUGGGAAUCUGCAGUCAGCCAUCACCUACUAAAGAUAGAACUUAAAAGUCCACAGGAAGUUAAAUAGUUUCACUCGUCCCCAGUGGAAUGUAUGCAACUGAUUCCUGCAUCUGUCUACCUUUCCAUUGAACAAACACUACCUUUGCAAUUAGAGAAAUACUAGUGAAAAACGCCAGAGAUCCGCAGUUCACAGGUCCUAGCAGGUCGUUGCCGAGCUAGGGGCCUGCUUGCCGGCUCCAAAGAAUUUUCGGCGUUGGCAAACGCGUCCUUGCUCGCAACCUCGGAGGCAGAAUGUCGGGCGCUACCCGCGGGGCGAAUCGCAGCGCAUAGGCAGGAGCCUCACUCACCGCGCGAGCGGAGCGCCACCGGUGGCCGAGCCGUGCGUGCCAGACUCACGCGCGGAGCAGCGCGCCUGCGCGUCCGGUCACGUGGUGGGCGCUCCGCACACAGAGUUAAAAGUCACGACCGCUGGGAGCCUGAGAGCGGCCAGCCGGUUGGUGCGGGGCUCUUCGUCUCCUGUAAGCUGGUCCUGACGGAGGCUGCCCCGCUGUCAUCGACCACCUCCCGAACCCUGGGCCCGGCUCAAUCCCGUGCGACGCGCAGAGCUGCCUAGCAUCUCUCCUCGCAGCCAACACAAGAGCGCGAAACCGCGUCUUUCAACUGACAAUGAAGCCCUAACCACUCUGCGCGGCAGCUCUGGGCGAAUGGGCGCGAGGCUAGGAGGGGGAGGGGAAAACGGUUGGGCCGAGCCCCCGCUCCAGUUCGCACCCCUAUUGGCGGGAGCCGCGGUUCUGUUCCCGCCCCCUAACGGACCUGUCGCAUUGUGACAGGUGGAAGGGCCAGUUCCUGUUGGGUCGGGGGCGGAGUCAGAGGUAGCCUGAGCUCCGCCCGGACGCUAAGGGGCUCCUCCUCCUGCUCCUCUCCGCGGGGCGGGUGGCGAGUGUGAGGGGAAUGUCAUUGCCGCUUGGAGCCGUGGUGCCGCCUCCGUCUGCUUCUGUUCUUUCUCUGGCGCCCUCGUCCCGUCGGCUUUCGCCGCUGCCGCAGCUGCACUGGGGAUACGGAUGGCUAGAGGGGCGCUGGGGCCAUCCGAGUUGAGAGAGCGGCGGUCGCAGCCGCGGCUGAGGCGGAGACUCCCCGCCGCCGCCUCCACCCCCCGGCCCCCGGCCUCGCGGCGCUGAGGGCGGGCGCGCGCGGCGCUCUCCCCUCCUCCUGCUCUUUCUUCCUCCUCCUCCUCCUUCGGGUCCCCGCCCAGCACCCCUCGCACCAGGCGGCGGCGGCGGCGGCGCGGAGCGAGACCCGCCGCCGGGGCACAACAUGGCGGAGCCCUCGGCCCCGGAGAGCAAGCACAAGUCUUCCCUCAACUCAUCCCCGUGGAGCGGCCUCAUGGCCCUGGGGAACAGCCGGCACGGCCACCACGGGCCCGGGGCCCAGUGCGCGCACAAGGCGGCGGGCGGCGCGGCGCCGAAGCCGGCCCCCGCGGGGCUGUCCGGGGGGCUGUCGCAGCCGGCUGGCUGGCAGUCGCUGCUCUCCUUCACCAUCCUGUUCCUGGCCUGGCUCGCCGGAUUCAGCUCGCGCCUGUUCGCCGUCAUCCGCUUCGAAAGCAUCAUCCACGAGUUCGACCCGUGGUUUAACUAUAGAUCAACACAUCAUCUUGCGUCUCAUGGGUUUUAUGAGUUUUUAAAUUGGUUUGAUGAAAGAGCAUGGUAUCCACUAGGAAGAAUAGUAGGUGGUACUGUUUACCCAGGAUUGAUGAUAACAGCUGGCCUUAUACAUUGGAUUUUAAAUACGUUGAACAUAACAGUUCAUAUAAGAGAUGUAUGUGUGUUCCUUGCACCAACUUUUAGCGGCCUUACAUCUAUAUCUACUUUCCUGCUUACCAGAGAACUUUGGAACCAAGGAGCGGGACUUUUAGCUGCUUGUUUUAUUGCUAUUGUACCAGGUUACAUUUCUCGGUCAGUAGCUGGAUCCUUUGAUAAUGAAGGCAUUGCUAUUUUUGCACUUCAGUUCACAUAUUACUUAUGGGUAAAGUCUGUAAAAACUGGGUCAGUUUUUUGGACAAUGUGCUGCUGCUUAUCGUAUUUCUACAUGGUCUCUGCUUGGGGUGGUUAUGUGUUUAUUAUCAACCUUAUUCCGCUGCAUGUAUUUGUGUUGUUACUAAUGCAGAGAUACAGCAAAAGAGUCUACAUAGCAUAUAGCACUUUCUAUAUUGUGGGCUUAAUAUUAUCCAUGCAGAUACCCUUUGUGGGAUUUCAGCCCAUUAGAACAAGUGAACACAUGGCAGCUGCAGGUGUCUUUGCAUUGCUGCAAGCUUAUGCUUUCUUGCAGUAUCUGAGAGACCGAUUAACAAAACAAGAGUUCCAGACCCUAUUCUUUUUAGGUGUAUCACUAGCUGCAGGAGCUGUGUUCCUUAGUGUCAUCUACUUGACUUAUACAGGUUACAUUGCACCAUGGAGUGGCAGGUUUUACUCAUUGUGGGACACUGGGUAUGCAAAAAUACACAUUCCAAUUAUUGCAUCAGUGUCAGAGCAUCAACCUACGACUUGGGUAUCUUUCUUCUUUGAUCUACAUAUUCUUGUGUGUACCUUCCCAGCAGGCCUCUGGUUCUGCAUUAAAAAUAUCAACGAUGAAAGAGUAUUUGUUGCUCUGUAUGCCAUCAGUGCUGUCUACUUUGCUGGUGUGAUGGUGAGGCUGAUGUUGACCUUGACUCCAGUCGUCUGUAUGCUGUCUGCCAUUGCCUUCUCUAAUGUUUUUGAGCACUAUUUGGGGGAUGACAUGAAAAGGGAAAACCCACCUGUGGAGGACAGCAGUGAUGAGGAUGAUAAGAGAAACCCAGGAAAUUUGUAUGAUAAGGCAGGUAAAGUGAGGAAGCAUGUAGCUGAACAGGAAAAAACUGAAGAAGGGUUAGGUCCUAAUAUAAAAAGCAUCGUUACCAUGUUGAUGCUGAUGCUAUUGAUGAUGUUUGCAGUCCACUGUACCUGGGUCACAAGCAAUGCCUACUCCAGCCCAAGUGUGGUCCUGGCCUCUUACAAUCAUGAUGGCACCAGGAAUAUUUUAGAUGAUUUUAGAGAAGCUUACUUUUGGCUAAGGCAAAAUACAGAUGAACAUGCCCGAGUGAUGUCUUGGUGGGAUUACGGCUAUCAAAUAGCUGGGAUGGCCAAUAGAACUACUUUGGUGGAUAAUAACACUUGGAAUAACAGCCACAUAGCACUGGUGGGAAAAGCUAUGUCUUCAAAUGAAACAGCAGCGUAUAAAAUCAUGAGGAGUCUGGAUGUAGAUUAUGUUUUGGUUAUUUUUGGAGGGGUUAUUGGAUAUUCUGGUGAUGACAUCAACAAGUUUCUCUGGAUGGUUAGAAUAGCUGAAGGGGAACAUCCAAAAGACAUUCGGGUAAGAAACUAGAUCAUUCUAGGUGUGUGCAAGACAGCUGACAGUGUCCAGGUAACCCUCUUAUCUUGCUGAUUACACCCUAUUUGUUUUUAUCAUCCUGUCCCCCAAAUGAGUCCCUUACUCUGACUUUACUGUUUAUUAAAGCAUUUUUCCAGGCUUAAAACUUUUGAAACUCAGUAUUUCCACUCUCCCUUUUGAAGCAGUCCUUGUCGAGAUUCUUGCUUUUACUCCUUCAUAGCCUCUCACUUCUGGACUUUGUCUCCAUUUUCAUCACUUCCACUCUGGUAAUGACCCCUGUGCUUAUAAACCCGAGAUAGGACAGUAGCCUUGAAAUUGCUGUCUUUGACUUCGUCUUGUUCCCUCUCCCAGUCUAAUAUGACACUGAUCGGUGUUACUUUCCAGCUUUUUUGAAAGCCUUCAUUAGUUUAAGGAAAGGAGCCUUUAAGCCUGACAGAUGUGAGUUGGAUCUAAACCCUGCUGCUGUCAGCCUGGUGCUGAAGGCACAUUGUUUUCAGCCAGUCAGCAUUGUAUCCUCUGAGCACUAGGUCUUGUUCUAGGUUCUAGUGUUACAGUGGUGAUUAAAACUGUUUCACUUAGCCCUAAUGGGAACGCCAGGAAUAAUUCAUCUGUAGUGCUGUUGUGAGAAUUUAUAGUAAGGUAGCAGAAGCCUCAGCCUAGUCGCUGGUUUGAAGUAAUCUCUGUAAGAAGUAAAAGUAUAAAAUCCAAACUUUGUGUCUCAGAAUGCAACCCCUUAAUACUUUCAUUUGCUGGCCUCUCGACCCUCUUAUCAACUUUUUCCACUAGCCCAUGAAAUUGGCCUCUGGUUUCUCCUUGAUUCAUUGGACACAUGUAUUUAUACUCUUUCCUUCUUGGAAUACCUUCCCUACCACAGAUUUGUCCCCUCUCCUGAAGCCCUUCUCUGGUGCAUCUAUGUCUACUCGUCAUCAGAUCACAUACAGCCUGCCUUGUAGGUAGAUUCUGUCUUGUCUCUCACACUCAGCUGUGAGCUCAUAGAGGAUGGGCAAAAGAAGAGUCCAUGGUAGUCACUUCUUAUUUCUUACUGGAGCAGAUAACUAGUAGCAAAAUAUACACCUUGUUCUUGCUUUUAUUUCAUAGUAUACUAUGGAGAUAUUUCUUUAUAGAAUAUGUGGAUCCCCCCCCCCUUUUUCUUAAUCUGCGCAGUGUUCCAUUGUGUGAGUGCACCAUGAUUUAUAUAACCUGUCCCUAUUAAUGAACAUUUAGGCUGUUCCCAGUUUUUUAAUCUCAUAAAACAGUGGUGCAAUAAGCAACUUUCUACACUCAUCAUUUUGCCCACAUAUAAGCAUCUCUGCAGGAUAAAUCCCUAGACAAGGAAUUUUUUUCUGUAGUGCCAGAUUGGCCCUCUUAGAAGUUAAUUUAUAAAUUUGAUGAUCUCCCAAUAAAAAUUACUGUAGGAAGUUUCUGAACACUCAUCUUCCAAAUAAAGAACUGAUCUUAAAGCUCAUAUGGAAAAAAUAAAGAACAAAUUUAGGAAAACUCUGAAGAGGAGUAAUGGGGUGGGAGUGGAGGGAAAGUUGGAGAGAUCCACUUACCUGGUAUUAAAUUGUAGUAUUGGUACCAUUUUUUCAAAAUUACUGAGGUUUCAGUGUAACAUGGUUUAAAAUCUGGUAGAAUUGAUCGCCUUUCCCUUACUCCCACAGACUAUUGUUGUUUUUCUCUAUUCUUGGAUUCUCUUAAGCUGAGCUAUAAAAUACAUCCAUGAUAGUUUUCUGGUUUUUUAAAGAGAUCACAUUAAAUUUAUAAAUUCAUCUUCUGAUACUACAUUUUUUUGAGCUGUAACUAAACAUGGAUUUAUGAAGAUAGCUCAAAAAUUAGUUCUUACAGAGAAAUGAAAUGGGGAACUUUAGCUUUGCAUGUGAUAUAUUAAACUGACUCAGAAACUUCUGGAUUCUUUCUUUCCUUUAGGAAAGUGACUAUUUCACCCCACAAGGAGAAUUCCGCGUAGACAAAGCAGGAUCCCCUACUUUGUUGAAUUGCCUUAUGUAUAAAAUGUCAUACUACAGAUUUGGAGAAAUGCAGCUGGAUUUCCGUACACCCCCAGGUUUCGAUAGAACACGCAAUGCUGAGAUUGGAAACAAGGACAUUAAAUUCAAGCAUUUGGAGGAGGCCUUUACCUCAGAACACUGGCUUGUAAGGAUAUAUAAAGUGAAAGCACCUGAUAACAGGGAGACUUUAGACCAUAAACCUCGAGUAACCAACAUUUUCCCAAAACAGAAGUAUUUGUCAAAGAAGACCGCAAAAAGGAAGCGAGGCUACAUUAAAAAUAAACUAGUUUUUAAGAAAGGCAAGAAAAUAUCUAAGAAGACUGUUUAAAUACACUGUUCUGGUUCCUAACUUGAAGCAGAUGUCCUUGUGAGAACCGGUCUUUGCCUUUAGCUCAUGUCAUGUUUCACAGCAACAGAGGGUACAGAACCAUCACUGGUCCAGGUUAAUGUACAAAACUUUCUGGCAAUGCCUGAUUUUAAGAAUAAAAUUGGCUUAUUGAGAACAGCUGUUUCGAUUUGUAAUGUGAAGCAAGACAGAGCACUGCUGUAAAUGUCUAACAGCAGACUUUUUUUAUUGGUACAUAUUAUCCUUCAAAUCUGAGAAUUUGGACUAAUGGCACCAAAGAACCCUCUAAUUUGGUCCCUGGCACAUGCAUACUUGUCAAUGUUUUCAUUCUUUUACAAGACCUGCAUUUUAUUUGAAUUACCCAGAUAGCAAUAUGUAAAAUACAGAUGACAAAAAUGUGAUGCAAGCUUCUUGAACCAGUAAACUAGUACAGGUCUGAGAAAGAAGUAUUAGAAAAAUAAUUAUACUUCCUUGAACUAUAUUUAUUUUCAUGUUUCUCCAGUACAGAGAAUGCAAAGGAUGUUUCAUCAAAUGUACACUUUUAUUGCUAUUGUUUGCUCUCAGAAAAAGCUGCUGUUGCAAAGAUGGAUCUCUAAUUGAUUCAGGAUAGUUUUGUUUUGUUUAUGUUGAAACAUUAUUGCUGCUGUUAGCAGUUGUUUUCACCAGGUACUUACAGAGCAGAUCUCAUACAUUGUUCAUUCAAGGGCUAAAUUUAUAUUCUUUGGAAAUCAUGGCGAUAGCACAGAAGCAUGUUGCUUACCAGGAUGGGGUUUGGUAUCUUAGUACUGAGGUUAGCAUGAUGUUUAUAUGCAAAAGAUUAAGGAAGAAACUUUUAAAAAUGAACAGGUAUCCAAAGUUCAUUUUGUAUGACUCAUCUGAAUGACAAAGGAUUUGUAAGCUUUGCCUGGAUUUCUCUCAUUUUUAUAAACAGUUUCAUACAUCACGAUGAUUUGUCCUCUGCUCUAUAUUUUGUUAAUCCCUUAAACAUUUGAUGAAACACUCUUUAAUGCUAUAUGCAUUUUCUUACUUUUAUUAAAAAUGUGACAAUUGUCAAAAAAUGCACUAAAAUGUAAAUGGAGAUUGAACAUGUUCACUUUCCAGCUUAUAGGCAACUUUAUAUAGACUUGAAAAUUUUCUCCUGUUCAGUAAAAGUGAAAGAGAAUGGAUUUUUCCUGCCACAGGAUCUUUUUUUUUAUAUAUAUAUAUAAAUAAGCAUAACAUACACCACUGCUUUUGGUGGAAAAGUGCAGAAUAGUAUGUACCUUUUAUGAAGAAAAGUGUAAUUUACAAUAUUCAGUGAGAAUGUUACUGCUGAUUUUCUUUUCCAAAGUGUAGAAUAUUCUUUGAUUUAUAGAAUUCAUUUUUGACCCAGAUGAUGGUUCUUUUACAGACCAAUAAAAUGGUUCAACAUUUUCACAAAUAAAGUGUAACUAAAUCUGGAUUUCUGAUACCUUGUCAUUUGGGGGAUUUUAUUUUACUUUGUUGCUUUAAAAUUCAAUGCAGAGAAGUUGUUGACUGUAGGGGAAAUAAAGUUAAUUCAAAUUUUGUGUUAA